CCUACGGGAGGCAGCAGUGAGGAAUAUUGGUCAAUGGGCGCGAGCCUGAACCAGCCAAGUCGCGUGAGGGAAGACGGUCCUAUGGAUUGUAAACCUCUUUUGUCGGGGAGCAAAAGACGCCACGCGUGGCGUUCCGAGAGUACCCGAAGAAAAAGCAUCGGCUAACUCCGUGCCAGCAGCCGCGGUAAUACGGAGGAUGCGAGCGUUAUCCGGAUUUAUUGGGUUUAAAGGGUGCGCAGGCGGAAUAUCAAGUCAGAGGUAAAAUUGAGGGGCUCAACCUCUUCGAGCCGUUGAAACUGGUUGUCUUGAGUGAGCGAGAAGUAUGCGGAAUGCGUGGUGUAGCGGUGAAAUGCAUAGAUAUCACGCAGAACUCCGAUUGCGAAGGCAGCAUACCGGCGCUCAACUGACGCUCAUGCACGAAAGCGUGGGUAUCGAACAGGAUUAGAUACCCUAGUAGUC
rnacentral:rRNA from 1 species